rnacentral:misc_RNA from 1 species
AAACACGCAUGCGAACUGCCGCUUCCUCAUCGGCUCUUUUCGUGCCUGACACUCGCACGCACGCUUACAUCUCCCUCUCUCCAUCUGUAGAUACGUAGGUGCGAGAAGCGUAGGCACGAGCGUCAGCAUCGGCGGCAGCCACUGCGGCAGCACGUCUAUCCUCUCAAAGUCUUUAUCCUGGCCCACACGGUGCCAUUGCAAGAUCGGCACACUGUGCCGGCUCUCAUAUGGGUUUCUCCUGCUGUCAUCUCUCCCCCUUCUCCCCCUCCCUCCGCAACGCACAAGAGCUACGACUGCCAGAGUGCGGAGCGUGAUACGGAUCAAGGGUGGUGAGCACACCUCCCUCAUCAUCCAUUCGCGUAGACACACAUAGCGACUCGCACACGGUGCAGCCGUACCUUCAUGGGCCAGCGGCAGUCCUUUGAGGCGAAGCUCCACGAGUGCGUGUGCAACAACAACCUGGAGCAGAUGAAGGAGCUGAUCCGGCAGCCCGAGUUUGUAGGGGAGAACAUGAACGAUACGAUGUUUCUCGACCUUGUCGAACGUUGCUGGGACCCGGCGACGACAAUGGCGUUCGCCAAGCAUGCGAACGACCACCAGCUCGCCAUUCUUGUGAGCACGGCGAUCAUACACUCGCGUGUUCUCCCACUGGGUUCGCUGUUUGACCUCAUGAAGGACGCGUCUGCCACCAUCCGGGACGAGCACCUUGACGAGCUCUUCACGACGGCGUGUGACCACAUCGACACCGAGGCGGUGAAGGCGAUGCUGUCGGUCAACUGCUUCGACCCGACGGAUGGGCGUCCCAUUGUGACCGUGGUGCGACGUGAGCUCAGCAAAAUGGCGCCCGACGAAGAGCUAGUUCAGCUCGUUCUUGAUGCCCUUCCCGGUCACGAGGAUGCGGCGACCUAUCUCCUAGAGACGUGUGUGCCGACGGCGAAAAAUGAGGCUACAAAGGCGAUGCUGACCACGAAACUGAAGAACUAUGUAGCGUGUACGUUGCGUGCUGGAUGAUGUUCUUGACCUCUCCUCUUUUCUCUUUCUGCAGCUUGAGCAGCCCUCGCCCAUCCCUCCCCUCUCCCCUACGGUCGUAAAAAGGCGACGUUGCGGAGGUGGAUGGAGGUCUAGGAGCGGGUGGAGGAAGGUACGGAAGACGGCUCUCCGCCUCGCAGCGGCUGCGGUUCGUUUGCAUGUGCGCCUCUCCCUCCGCCUCCCUCGCUGUGCCGCGCGUGAGGGCAUCUGACGUGUAGGAGAGAAAGGGAGGGCAUUGGUGUAUUGCGAAGAUACCAGACAACAACGGCCGCACACGAUGUUGAUGGUGUACUGUGGUCUGUAGACCUCCACCACCGAAGCAGAAGUGAGCAGCCGUGGCAGCAGAAACCGAAGCAACGAAGAGGAAGAGGACUGACGCGUGGACUCCACUGCGUCGCCUGUGGCGUCUCUUUCUCUCCGUUCUCCUCCAUCCCUUGCCAUCUCAGCUCCCCCCUCCGCACCCAUCCGCUACCUGGUGAAUGCUCCACCCGCGUGCGAACUAGCUCGAUGUGUGUGCGCUGCGCAACGACGUGCUGUGCUGCCGAGCGUGCACAGGCCCUCGAUGUGUGCGUGUACGUUGUGGGCUCUUCAUCAUCAUCCGUUGUCUUUCCGCUCUUCUCUAUCUUCUGUUCUCUGGGAUGAAGGGAGACCUCCUCCCCCCCCCCCCGCCCCCCUCUCGUUGUUGUUCUCUCUGCUCCAAACACGAGUCUCAG